rnacentral:lncRNA from 1 species
CUUUCUAUUUUUUUUAGCAAGAUCAACCUCGAUUCCUCUCUUACCAUGAACCCCAGCAGCUUACCGGCCCGCACUCUGAAAGUGCACUUAUCUGAAUUCAACCUCAGUUUGAAUUGUCUCAACCGGUCGACCAACUCGGCCAGAUCCACCAGAUGCCCUUCUUCUGUUUUGGGACUUUGUUAUCAUGUCAUCAACAUAGCAUUCGAUUUCAUGAUGAAUCAUAUCAUGAAA